rnacentral:rRNA from 1 species
GGGUCAGUAGGUUGGUCGUGCCACCGGUACGUACUGGUCUCACUGAUUCCUCCUUCCUGAAGAACCGUAAUGCCAUUAAUUUGGUGUUGCGGGGAAACAGGACUGUUACUUUGAAAAAAUUAUAGUGUUUAAAGCAAGCUAACGCUUGAAUACAUUAGCACGGAAUAAUGAAAUAGGACGAUCGAUCCUAUUUUGUUGGUUUCUAGGAUUGACGUA